CUAAGUGUUCUUGUGUACUAUUGUGCUAGUAUAAUUAUUAUUAUACCCCCUUUUGAAGAAGAGGGGUUAAAUUGUUAUGCCCCUCUUCGAAGAAGAGGGGAUAUAUUGUUUUGCUGGAUGUUGGUCGGUCUCUCGGUCGGUCUGUCUGUAGACCAGUUCGUUUUCGAUCAAUAACUUGUCAAUGAAUUGACCAGUUUGCUUGAUAUUUCACAUGUUCAUUGACCUUGGACGGUAUAUGACCCCCAUGGAAAUUGGGGUCACAAGGUCAAAGGUCACUGUCACAAUAAGUGUGAAAAUUGUUUCCGAUCAAUAACUUGUUAACAAAUUGACCACUUGGCUUGAUACUUCCCAUGUGCAUUGGACUUGGACCGUAAAUGACACCUUUUAAAAUUGCAGGCUUUCAACCGUUCCUAUUUUUUCCAACUUUUCCCACUUAUUCCUACUUUUUUAUUUCCUUCCUACUUUUUCCUAUUUUUGCACUAAAACCUCCUACUAUUCCUACUUUUUGCUGGAGAAAAGAAACAUUUUUUGUUAGUUGUAUUUUCAGAUUAUAAAAGCUGUAAAACUGGCAAGUUUCUGUUGAGGAAAGGUGUGGCUGCUCCAGCCAUCUGAUGUAAACUCUAGUUCUUAAGGCUGUGAGCAACAGAUUGCUGCACCUUUCAACUACAGAAGCUUGGCAUGUAACACCAACUCACAUACCUACAACACAUUAGGUUUCUGAAUGGUGAGAAUAAUCAUCAAGGUAAGAGUUGGUUUACACAGAUACAUAACUUGUGGUUAUCCUUCCUAUUAAUACUACUUUUUGUGUUAAUAGUCUUCCUACUUUUCUUACUUUUUCUUCAGGAAACCUCCUAUUUUUUUCCUUCUUUUCUAUCGGAAACCAGUUGAAGGCCUGAAAUUGGGGUCAAUUGGUCAAAUGUCAAGGUCACUGUCACAAUAAUUGUGAAAAUCGUUUCGGAUCAAUAACUUGUUAACAACUUGACUGCUUGGCUUUAUACUUACCAUGUGCAUUGGACUUGGACAGUAAAUCACACCUAUUGAAAGUGGGAUCAAUAGGUCAAAGGUCACGGUCACUGUCACAUUAAGUGGGAAAAUCGUUUCCGAUCAAUAACUUGUUCAUGAAUAAAACCAAUUUGCUUGAUACUUCCCAUGUGCAUUGGCCUUGGACAGUAGAUGAUCCCUAUCAAAUUGGGGUCACUAGGUCAAAUGUCACUGUCACAAUAAGUGUGAAAAUUGUUUCUGAUCACUAACUUGUUGACGAGACCGAUAGGCUUGAUACUUCACAUAUGCAUUGGUCUUGGACAGUAGAUGACUCCUAUUGAAAUUGGGCUCACUAGUUCAAAGCCCUGUUUUUUUUUGGGGGGGGGGGCAUAUGUCUCCGACCUAGAAACUCUUGUUAUUUUUAUGUUAAUGGUGUUCUGGGUUUCCCAAUUAAGUUUCUGGAAUUUAAGUUUGAUCAUUUCUCCAAACUGUACUGCUUUAAUUUUAUUAACUGUUAAAUGAUCAUAGAACUCUUAUUUCCGUCUUGUAUGUUAUGACCAGUGCUUCCUGAUAAUACACGCAAUAAAGCUCUUAUUUCUGUCCUGUCAACAUGAUAAUGUAUUGCAUAGCUCUAAUUUCUGUCAUAUGCAGAAAUUACCAUAACUUACUAAUACAGUUUUAGCGCUCA